rnacentral:rRNA from 1 species
AGAGUUUGAUCCUGGCUCAGAACGAACGCUGGCGGCAUGCUUAACACAUGCAAGUCGAACGUGAUCCGGUUUCGGCCGGUGAAAGUGGCGGACGGGUGAGUAACGCGUGGGAACCUGCCCAAUGGUAGGGGAUAACUGCGGGAAACUGCGGCUAAUACCCUAUGUGUCCUGAGGGAGAAAGAUUUAUCGCCAUUGGAGGGGCCCGCGUCGGAUUAGGUAGUUGGUGGGGUAACGGCCUACCAAGCCUACGAUCCGUAGCUGGUCUGAGAGGAUGAUCAGCCACACUGGGACUGAGAUACGGCCCAGACUCCUACGGGAGGCAGCAGUGGGGAAUAUUGGACAAUGGGGGCAACCCUGAUCCAGCAAUGCCGCGUGAGUGAAGAAGGCCUUAGGGUUGUAAAGCUCUUUCGCACGCGACGAUGAUGACGGUAGCGUGAGAAGAAGCCCCGGCUAACUCCGUGCCAGCCGCCGCGGUAAUAC